UAGUCUGCAACUCGACUACAUGAAGCUGGAAUCGCUAGUAAUCGCAGAUCAGAAUGCUGCGGUGAAUACGUUCCCGGGUCUUGUACACACCGCCCGUCACACCAUGGGAGUCGGAAAUGCCCGAAGCCGGUGACCCAACCAAAAGGAGGGAGCCGUCGAAGGCAGGUCUGAUAACUGGGGUGAAGUCGUAACAAGGUAGC
rnacentral:rRNA from 1 species